UACGGGGGGGGAAAGGGUUUUUCGGAAUUACUGGGCGUAAAGGGCGCGUAGGCGGGUGGACAAGUCUCUCGUGAAAGCCCACGGCUCAACCGUGGAAUUGCGGGAGAUACUGUCUGUCUUGAGUCCGGGAGAGGAGGGUGGAAUUCCCAGUGUAGCGGUGAAAUGCGUAGAUAUUGGGAGGAACACCGGUGGCGAAGGCGGCUCUCUGGACCGGUACUGACGCUGAGGCGCGAAAGCUAGGGGAGCAAACGGG
rnacentral:rRNA from 1 species